AGAAGAGAGAGAGAGACGACAGUAAGAACGUGAAGCAAGGUUGAUCUAUGUGAAAAAGAUGAAGAAGCUAUUCAAUUUUGGACGGAUCAUCGUUGCCAGUGCACAAUGUAAACUAGUUUCAUCGGUGAGAAGUUGCGGUUAUGGUUUCCAGGAAAGAUUUUGAACUCUGAUGAAGUGUGCCUGUUAACAGUUGCUUGAGUGUCUUCUAUCAUCAUUUCUCCUCCAACAGAUGAGUUUACUGUUUUGCACCAGUCCUAGAAUGCGCAUUUCCCAUUUGGGCAUAAAUAAUACAAUUUGCCUCUGUUUUUUUUCAGAUUCAGUGACUUUAAUUGUUGCUUUGCUCCCACAGUAGCAGAGCUUCACUACAAGAAAUUAAGGUUUUAAAGACAAAUUUUUAGAAACAAAAAUAAUUUGUCUUUAAAAAUUAUACUUUUAGAGACAAAAUGAAAGAAUUUUGAAAAAAAAAUAAAUUUAACCAUAUUAUUAUAUUUUUAAAACGAAACUAUUUGGUUGCAAAAGGUUAAUGACUUUUUGUCAACAAUUUUGAUUUGUCCCUAAUAAACACACCACAUAAUUAUUUUAUUUUAUUUUCAUUCUUUCAACUCAACAGUUGGGAUUUCAUUUCCUUCUCCACGCAACUGUCUCUCUCGCUUUCUAUCUCCAUCGAAGCCCUAAUUUCAUUGUUCUCGGUGGUUUGUUGAUUUCAAUCCCUGAUCUCAGAGACUCCUCGACAGCGACUUCAAUAUCCAGGAAUAUGGAAAAUGCCUUAUCACUGGGGAGGCUCUGUCUAUGGAUGAUAUUGUCCCGAUUAAAACCGACAAGAUAGUGAAGCCAUGACCAGUACAAGCCGCAAGCAUUCCAAGGAUGCUUGGGAUGUUCCAAAUAGAAUGGGAUAGCCUGAUGCCAUCCAAUUUUGUCGUGGAGCAACAACUACUUAUAGCAAGGCAAGAGUUAAGUCAUGCUUUAUACCAGGUACUAAAGACGAGCUUUUUUUAUUUUAUUUUCUUUUUUGGGCAAGUACUUGAUGAUGAGCUUAUAUCCUCUUUAAAGUUUGGAUCUUUUGUACAGAUUGUGUAGAAUAUUUUAUUUGAUUUCAAAACAAAACAUUAUCAUUGUUUUGCAGUUUGUUUAGUUAAUAUUGGAACAUUCAAAAAUACAUAUUUGACAAUUAGAGAUUGUGAAACACUUGCAAAACAAAUUAAUGGUUCAACAGCAAUUUAAAAUAAUAAUAAUAAUAAUAAUAAUAAUAAUAAUAAUAAUAAUAAUAAUAAUAAUAAUAAAUGAAGAAGAAUGAAUAAAAUUAUAAAAAGAAACUGCUUACAUGUAACAUUUUUCUCUAACUAUAAAGAACUCAAGGCUAUAUUGGUUGGGCUAUCAAUGUUGUAUUUUGGUUGGUCAUAAUUGUCUGUGGAACCAAUUUAGAUAUCCAUGUUGGGCAAUCCUACUCUUUUUUGGUUACCAUGGAUCAUAAUGCAAGUAGUGAUUUGUGAAUUAGUCUCUUUGGCAAAGUGUUACUGGUGUUGCUGUCUUGCACUAUUCAAAUUCAAAAGGAAAGGCAGCUAGUUCCCUCCCUGAUCCACCGAAUGAUGUAUAUAACACAUCAUUUUUGCUAAACCAGGCAAUGUCCAUCAGGUUUGUUCCCAUUCCCUUGUUUCUUUUGAUAUUUAUUAACUUCUAUGUCUUUUUAAAUUGGGAAUUUGUAAUUGUCUUAUUGAGUUAUUUUGUUUGUGUUCCUUGCUUUUUUCAUUAAAGAACAUUUAGGAUAUAUAUUUUGUAACUAUCUUAUUUAGCUAUGUCUUCUGCUUGCACACAAUGGGAAUUCACUUUUUGUUUUGAACAAGUUGAGUCACACAAGCACAUAAAGAGAUAUUCUUAGCAUUGAUGGUGCUAAAGUUUGCUAAGUGUUGCUAGUGGGUUUAAAGAAGUUGUCUAUGAAAGUUGGACAUAAAUCUCCAUAUUUCUAAACUUCAACUCAAGUUAUCUUUCUAUUUUUCCCGUUUCUUUCUCAUGCAUUGUAGGAAGACGUGUUUGUAGUCCAGGUAAAAGUAGUUAAUUGGCAGAGGUUUACCAAUUGAAACCCACUUCGUUUUAGACCGUCUCUCUUGGCAUGCAUGUGGGUGGGUGGUAGGGGGAAGGGGCCUAAGAAAAAUGUCAUCUGCUGGGAGGUGUAACCCCCCAUAAAGCUCACACCAAACUGAUAAAAAAUUGUUUCUAUUUUAUUAGACAAGAAAAUAGUUAGUUAGCAUAAAGUAUGAACAAUCUUUAGUUCGAGUGUUAUAUGAUUUACCUUGUGAUACAUAUCGGAUUAUAUUGAUGUUUUGGCACAAUUUUAGAAUUAUAAAAUGCCAUUGGAGUUAGUGUUUUGUGACAUGGUAGUGCAGUAUUGUAUGAGGUUUUAGGUUCUACAAUGUAUUCAACCAAUAAUCUUUGGGGAAGAGGAGGCAAAAUUUGAUUAUAACCUAAGAAGGUUGAAAUUUGAUCUGUUGCGUUACUGAUCUUUGAUUUCAUUUCCUUUUUUUCUUUUCUUUUCUUUUUCUAUUCUUUUGUACUGGAGAAGCAUUUCAUUCAAUUUAUAGAUUGUAAUUCCUUCUAUCUCUUCCAUGGGUGUUUAUGUUGCUGGACCUUAUGAUUCUUGCUUUAUUUGGACAUCUUUCCAAGGAUGUCUGUUGAUGAACUCAUUGAAUUGUAUUACAAAUCACAACCAUGGACUUCUGUUAGUAAGUAAUGCAUAAGUUUGUGAAAUGUUUAUACAUUGUAUACAUAUACAUGUCUGAGUGUGUGUGCAUCACAUGUUCACAGGCAAUGUUAACUCGUUUUUGACACCCUCUUUGUAUUUUUGACUUUCAAUGCUAAAUUGUUCAAUUCUAAAGUGGCCUUCUGUUUAACAGAUAAAUCAGUUGUACUGAAGUCAGUAAGUGAUAUAAAACUCAUACAUGCUGGCAAAGUUUUGGAGAAUGGCAAGACGCUGGCAGAAUCCAGAGUACAUUUUGGUGACCUUCCUGGUGGAGUUAGUACUAUGCAUGUUGUGGUGCAGCCUCCCAUCCCAAGAAAGAAGACAGGUUCUGCAAGCUUGCAUCGAUUUGAAGGUUUGGGAGCUCUUUGCGAGAUUUUGAAUGACAUUUUAACAAAGCCCUUGAGAAGAGGAUAUGAUGAGUUGUUUUAUUCUGUAGGUAGAUGUAACUCUAAUAUAUAAUCUGUUCAUUGAAUAGUUGAAUGCUACAAGAAAUGCUUGUGGCACUGGCCUUAUAAUUUGGAAAUGAUGCUUUUGAAAUCUUUAUUCGUUUAUGAUAUACAAUCUAGAUGUUACGUAUUAAUGAAUUAGA